AACGAACGCUGGCGGCAUGCCUAACACAUGCAAGUCGAACGAGACCUUCGGGUCUAGUGGCGCACGGGUGCGUAACGCGUGGGAACCUGCCCUCAGGUUCGGAAUAACUCUCCGAAAGGGGUGCUAAUACCGGAUAAUGUCUUCGGACCAAGGAUUUAUCGACCUUGGUUGUGCCCGCGUUGGAUUAGCUAGUUGUUAGGGUAAAAGCCUACUAAGGCGAGAAUCCAUAGCUGGUCAGAGAGGAUGAUCAGCCACACUGGGACUGAGACACGGCCCAGAAUCUUACGGGAGGCGGGAGUGGGUGAUAGUGGACAAUGGGGGGAAGCAUGAUGCAGCAAGGCUGCGUGAGUGAUGUAGGCCGUAAGGUAGUAAAGCUCAUUUAACCGGGAUGAUAAUGACGGUACCGGGAGAAUAAGCGCCGGCUAACUACGUG
rnacentral:rRNA from 1 species